GCCACCGCGCCUGGCUCCUUUUGUAUAUUUUGGUAUGCAUGGAGAGGUGUUUAUUGCCUGAACAUGGAGCCCAAAUUACCUGCCCCCACCCCCCACACUGGUCAGCACUGGAGUUCUGGUGCAAAGCUGACCUCUGGAAUCAUUUUGUGGAUUCUCAAGGGCUGUGAGGGGAAAACAUUUCAAAUUAGGCAGGAUGCCCAGUAACUAGGAACACUUGGAAUCUCCAGCCUCACAAACACAACCACGUCUAAAUGAGAUUCAAAGACAGGAAAAAUUACCCUCCAUGCAUAUCCCUUGAAAUUGCCCAGCAGAGAAUACUCCGGAGCGGCACGUGGAUGCGUCCCGAGUUCUUUGGAAGGAGGAUGUGAAGAGCGCCCAGGCUGGCAUUCCCUGGAUAGUAUAGCACAGGCAGUGUGGAGCCUGACGAAGCACAGGCAGGCACGAUGUGGACAGCAGCACGGACGUCCGGCCGCCCAAGUGUCCCCUCGCCUUUCAACCGCAAAUUCCACUGUCAAUGCUGCAGACAGACACGGUUCACUCCGUAAGAUCACCCGUGAAAUGGGAGCGCCCGACCACAUGCCUGGAAAUGUGAAAGGAUAAUUCUCACCACUGUGAGCGACUCCUAGCACUGUUCAUGGGAACCAUUUUCCUGUAAACUCAGACAUUAGAACACAUCCUUCUUGGCAUAUGGCAGGGUAUCAAUCAGCGAAUCAGUCAAAAUACAGAAUUCUAAGGACAAAUGAAUAAGAUCACGGAGGCUUGCUGUAUUCAUCUUUUGGGGCUGACAAAAUGCCACCACCUGGGGUAGGAUGUGUUAAACAACGUGUUUAUUCUCUCAUUAUCUGGAGGCUGGAAGUCCAAGAUCAAGGUGCCAAUAAAGAGAUCGGUCGACCUCUGCCCUGCAGCUCUGCUGUCCAGUAUGGCAGCCAC
rnacentral:lncRNA from 1 species